rnacentral:rRNA from 1 species
AGAGUUUGAUCCUGGCUCAGGAUGAACGCUGGCGGCGUGCUUAACACAUGCAAGUCGAACGAUGACUUUUGUGCUUGCACAAAAUGAUUAGUGGCGAACGGGUGAGUAACACGUGAGUAACCUGCCCUUAACUUCGGGAUAAGCCUGGGAAACCGGGUCUAAUACCGGAUACGACGGAUUCCCGCAUGGGGGUCCGUGGAAAGCUUGAUGCGGUUUUGGAUGGACUCGCGGCCUAUCAGCUAGUUGGUUGGGGUAAUGGCCCACCAAGGCGACGACGGGUAGCCGGCCUGAGAGGGUGACCGGCCACACUGGGACUGAGACACGGCCCAGACUCCUACGGGAGGCAGCAGUGGGGAAUAUUGCACAAUGGGCGAAAGCCUGAUGCAGCGACGCCGCGUGAGGGACGAAGGCCUUCGGGUUGUAAACCUCUUUCAGCAGGGAAGAAGCGAAAGUGACGGUACCUGCAGAAGAAGCGCCGGCUAACUACGUGCCAGCAGCCGCGGUAAUACGUAGGGCGCAAGCGUUAUCCGGAAUUAUUGGGCGUAAAGAGCUCGUAGGCGGUUUGUCGCGUCUGCUGUGAAAGCCCGGGGCUCAACCCCGGGUCUGCAGUGGGUACGGGCAGACUAGAGUGCAGUAGGGGAGACUGGAAUUCCUGGUGUAGCGGUGAAAUGCGCAGAUAUCAGGAGGAACACCGAUGGCGAAGGCAGGUCUCUGGGCUGUAACUGACGCUGAGGAGCGAAAGCAUGGGGAGCGAACAGGAUUAGAUACCCUGGUAGUCCACGCCGUAAACGAUGAGUGCUAAGUGUUAGGGGGUUUCCGCCCCUUAGUGCUGCAGCUAACGCAUUAAGCACUCCGCCUGGGGAGUACGGUCGCAAGACUGAAACUCAAAGGAAUUGACGGGGGCCCGCACAAGCGGUGGAGCAUGUGGUUUAAUUCGAAGCAACGCGAAGAACCUUACCAGGUCUUGACAUCCCGCUGACCGGCCUAGAGAUAGGCUUUUCCCUUCGGGGACAGCGGUGACAGGUGGUGCAUGGUUGUCGUUAGCUCGUGUCGUGAGAUGUUGGGUUAAGUCCCGCAACGAGCGCAACCCUUGAUCUUAGUUGCCAGCAUUCAGUUGGGCACUCUAAGGUGACUGCCGGUGAUAAACCGGAGGAAGGUGGGGAUGACGUCAAAUCAUCAUGCCCCUUAUGACCUGGGCUACACACGUGCUACAAUGGACGGUACAGAGGGUCGCAACCCCGCGAGGGUGAGCAAAUCCCAUAAAACCGUUCUCAGUUCGGAUUGUAGGCUGCAACUCGCCUACAUGAAGCCGGAAUCGCUAGUAAUCGUGGAUCAGCAUGCCACGGUGAAUACGUUCCCGGGCCUUGCACUCACCGCCCGUCAAG